rnacentral:misc_RNA from 1 species
GAUGAAGAACGUAGCGAAAUGCGAUAACUAAUGUGAAUUGCAGAAUUCAGUGAAUCAUCGAGUCUUUGAACGCACAUUGCGCCCCCUGGUAUUCCGGGGGGCAUGCCUGUCCGAGCGUCAUUGCUGCCCUCAAGCACGGCUUGUGUGUUGGGCUCCGUCCCCCCGGGGACGGGUCCGAAAGGCAGCGGCGGCACCGAGUCCGGUCCUCGAGCGUAUGGGGCUUUGUCACCCGCUCUGUACGCCCGGCCGGCGCCAGCCGACAACCAAUCAUCCUUUUUUCAGGUUGACCUCGGAUCAGGUAGGGAUACCCGCUGAACUUAAGCAUAUCAAUAAGCGGAGGA